UGAACUGCUGGAAUUACAGGCUUCCAAGUGAGAAGUUCAGGGCUUCACAAUUGAGAACCAGAAAGAAAAGGAGAAACUGGCCUUUGUUGAGUAUCAACUGUCAACAUUCUUGGAUAAGAAAGAGGAGAAGAAGUAUUUA
rnacentral:lncRNA from 13 species